rnacentral:rRNA from 1 species
ACGGAGGAUGCAAGCGUUAUCCGGAUUCAUUGGGUUUAAAGGGUGCGCAGGCGGAUUAAUAAGUCAGUGGUGAAAUCCUACGGCUCAACUGUAGAACUGCCAUUGAUACUGUUAGUCUUGAGUAUUGUUGAGGUAGGCGGAAUGUGUCAUGUAGCGGUGAAAUGCUUAGAUAUGACCCAUAACGCCAGUCGCGGAGGCAACUUACCAAGAUAUAACUGACUCUUAUGCGCGAUAUCGUGGAGAUCAAACAG